rnacentral:rRNA from 1 species
AUUGAACGCUGGCGGCAUGCUUUACACAUGCAAGUCGAACGGUAACAGGGUGCUUGCACCGCUGACGAGUGGCGAACGGGUGAGUAAUGCGUCGGAACGUGCCGAGUAGUGGGGGAUAACGCAGCGAAAGUUGUGCUAAUACCGCAUACGUACUGAGGUAGAAAGUGGGGGACCUUCGGGCCUCACGCUAUUCGAGCGGCCGACGUCUGAUUAGCUAGUAGGUGAGGUAAAGGCUGACCUAGGAGACGAUCAGUAGCGGGUAUGAGAGGGUGAGCCGCAACACGGGGACUGAGACACGGCCCAGACUCCUACGGGAGGAAGCGGUGGGGAAUUUGGGACAAUGGGCGAAAGCCUGAUCCAGCCAUGCCGCGUGUCUGAAGAAGGCCUUGGGGUUGUAAAGGACUUUUGUCAGGGAGGAAAUCCCUAGUGCUAAUAACACUGGGGGAUGACAGUACCUGAAGAAUAAGCACCGGCUAACUACGUGCCAGCCGCCGCGGUAA